rnacentral:rRNA from 1 species
AUUGAACGCUGGCGGCAGGCCUAACACAUGCAAGUCGAGCGGAUGAAGGGAGCUUGCCCCUGGAUUCAGCGGCGGACGGGUGAGUAAUGCCUAGGAAUCUGCCUGGUAGUGGGGGAUAACGUCCGGAAACGGGCGCUAAUACCGCAUACGUUCUGAGGGAGAAAGUGGGGGAUCUUCGGACCUCACGCUAUCAGAUGAGCCUAGGUCGGAUUAGCUAGUUGGUGGGGUAAAGGCCUACCAAGGCGACGAUCCGUAACUGGUCUGAGAGGAUGAUCAGUCACACUGGAACUGAGAAACGGUCCAGACUCCUACGGGAGGCAGCAGUGGGGAAUAUUGGAAAAUGGGCGAAAGCCUGAUCCAGCCAUGCCGCGUGUGUGAAGAAGGUCUUCGGAUUGUAAAGCACUUUAAGUUGGGAGGAAGGGAAGUAAGUUAAUACCUUGCUGUUUUGACGUUACCAACAGAAUAAGCACCGGCUAACUUCGU